rnacentral:rRNA from 1 species
GGCGCUCUGGUCGAGGAUAAACGACCCCUCUGACCGAGGUUAAGUGGUCGCUGCUGUGUUACCUCUUUCCCGAGGCACACGUUAAAGAUUGUUCCGCAUUGUGAGUCUAACACCAGUUGUAACUUUUUACAACCGGCAGCGCUGGAUCCCUUGGCACGUCAUUCGAUGAAGACCGUUGCAAAUUGCGAUAAAGUGAUGUGAUGCGCAAGUCCACCACUUAUACGUGAAUCAUCGAGUUGUUGAACGCAUUGCACCGCGCCCUAAUCCGGCUGCGGUAUGCCCCUUUGAGCGUCAUUGUAUUCCUUCGGGAGUCUUUCCUUGCGAAAGACCCGAGUUCGGAGUCCUCGGUCUUUGGAUCGUGUUCUCUCAGAUGCGUCGCGCCGAUCGCCUGAUGGGUACUCUAAUGCCUGAGCGUGGAGUCCUUUCUGGGUUUGAGACGUGCUUGACCGGCCGUUGGGCUCGUGUCACCAAGUCCGCGUCCUUUGCGACGUCGGUACUACAACGCAUGACCUCAUCGGGGUAGGACAACCCGCUAGACUUAAGCAUAUCAAUAAGCGGAGGA